rnacentral:rRNA from 1 species
GCCCCAGUAAACGGCGGCCGUAACUAUAACGGUCCUAAGGUAGCGAAAUUCCUUGUCGGGUAAGUUCCGACCUGCACGAAUGGCGUAAUGAUGGCCAGGCUGUCUCCACCCGAGACUCAGUGAAAUUGAACUCGCUGUGAAGAUGCAGUGUACCCGCGGCAAGACGGAAAGACCCCGUGAACCUUUACUAUAGCUUGACACUGAACAUUGAGCCUUGAUGUGUAGGAUAGGUGGGAGGCUUUGAAGUGUGGACGCCAGUCUGCAUGGAGCCAACCUUGAAAUACCACCCUUUAACGUUUGAUGUUCUAACCUAGGCCCAUAAACUGGGUCGGGGACCGUGUCUGGUGGGUAGUUUGACUGGGGCGGUCUCCUCCUAAAGAGUAACGGAGGAGCACGAAGGUUGGCUAAGCAUGGUCGGACAUCAUGCGGUUAGUGCAAAGGCAUAAGCCAGCUUGACUGCGAGAGUGACGGCUCGAGCAGGUACGAAAGUAGGUCUUAGUGAUCCGGUGGUUCUGAAUGGAAGGGCCAUCGCUCAACGGAUAAAAGGUACUCCGGGGAUAACAGGCUGAUACCGCCCAAGAGUUCAUAUCGACGGCGGUGUUUGGCACCUCGAUGUCGGCUCAUCACAUCCUGGGGCUGAAGUAGGUCCCAAGGGUAUGGCUGUUCGCCAUUUAAAGUGGUACGCGAGCUGGGUUUAGAACGUCGUGAGACAGUUCGGUCCCUAUCUGCCGUGGGCGUUGGAAGAUUGAGAGGGGUUGCUCCUAGUACGAGAGGACCGGAGUGAACGCACCACUGGUGUUCGGGUUGUCAUGCCAAUGGCAUUGCCCGGUAGCUAAGUGCGGAAGAGAUAACCGCUGAAAGCAUCUAAGCGGGAAACUUGCCUCGAGAUGAGUCUUCCCUGUCGCUUUAAGUGACCUAAAGGAACGUUUAAGACUAAGACGUUGAUAGGCUGGGUGUGUAAGCGUAGCGAUACGUUGAGCUAACCAGUACUAAUGAACCGUGAGGCUUAACCUGACAACACCGAAGGUGUUU